rnacentral:rRNA from 1 species
AUGUGUUGUAAUUAAACACUUGAAUUUUUUUGAACGAAAGGGAAUACGGUUCCAAUUCCGUAACCUGUUGAGUAUCCGUUUGUUAUUAAAUAUGGGCCUUGUGCUCAUCCUGGCAACAGGAACGACCAUAAAGAAGCCGUCGAGAGAUAUCGGAAGAGUUUUCUUUUCUGUUUUAUAGUCGUACUACCAUGGAAGUCUUUCGAAGAGAGAUAUGGUAGAUGGACUAGAAGAGCAUGACAUUUACUGUUGUGUCGAUAUUUUCUCCUCGGACCUUGAAAAUUUAUGGUGGGGUCACGCAAACUUCUCAACAGGCCGUACCAAUAUCCGCAGCUGGUCUCCAAGGUGAAGAGUCUCUAGUCGAUAGAAUAAUGUAGGUAAGGGAAGUCGGCAAAUUAGAUCCGUAACUUCGGGAUAAGGAUUGGCUCUGAAGAUUGAGAUAGUCGGGCUUGAUUGGGAAGCAAUAACAUGGUUUAUGUACUCGUUCUGGGUAAAUAGAGGUUCUUGAAUCUUGUUCCUCGGAUAGUAGUUACGUAACCAAUUGUGGAACUUUCUUGCUAAAAUUUCUAGGGGAUUAUCGCAAGAUAUAUUCUCUUUUAAUUAUAACGACUAUCAAUUAACAAUCAAUUCAGAACUGGCACGGACUUGGGGAAUCCGACUGUCUAAUUAAAACAAAGCAUUGUGAUGGCCCUAACGGGUGUUGACACAAUGUGAUUUCUGCCCAGUGCUCUGAAUGUCAAAGUGAAGAAAUUCAAGUAAGCGCGGGUAAACGGCGGGAGUAACUAUGACUCUCUUAAGGUAGCCAAAUGCCUCGUCAUCUAAUUAGUGACGCGCAUGAAUGGAUUAACGAGAUUCCUACUGUCCCUAUCUACUAUCUAGCGAAACCACAGCCAAGGGAACGGGCUUGGAAUAAUUAGUGGGGAAAGAAGACCCUGUUGAGCUUGACUCUAAUCUGGCAGUGUAAGGAGACAUAAGAGGUGUAGAAUAAGUGGGAGAUAUUGAUCCUUGUGGUCUUUAUCGACAAUGAAAUACCACUACUCUUAUUGUUUCCUUACUUACUUGAUUAAGUGGAACGUGUAUCUUUUCUUAGCCAUUAUACGGAUAUAUUUAUAUAUCUUAUGGUAUUGGGUUUUGAUGCAAGCUUCUUGAUCAAAGUACUAAGAGUUUGUUAUAUAAUCGUAAACAAAUUUUGAUGAGAUGAUGGCAUUUCGGUGUUAUUGUUAAUAUUUGAAAUUUGGUAUAACUCCUAAUACUCAGGUAUGAUCCAAUUCAAGGACAUUGCCAGGUAGGGAGUUUGACUGGGGCGGUACAUCUCUCAAAUAAUAACGGAGGUGUCCCAAGGCCAGCUCAGUGCGGACAGAAACCACACAUAGAGCAAAAGGGCAAAUGCUGACUUGAUCUCGGUGUUCAGUACACACAGGGACAGCAAAAGCUC